rnacentral:misc_RNA from 1 species
AUAAAUUGGAUAUUUAAAAUUAAACCCUAAAGAGAAAACCUAAUCGAUUAGAAGAUUGAACAUUGAAGACCGGAGAUUGAAGAUCGAAGAUUGGAUCAGGUAAUCAUGGGGAUCAGAUUCAUACUAAUGGUGAAUAAGCAAGGACAAACCCGUCUUGCCCAGUAUUACGAAUACCUUACUCUUGAAGAAAGACGUGCCCUUGAGGGUGAAAUUGUACGCAAAUGCCUUGCCCGCAACGAACAACAGUGUUCAUUUGUGGAGCAUCGUACCUACAAAAUUGUCUAUAGGCGAUAUGCGUCACUCUUUUUCCUAGUUGGAGUUGAUAAUGAAGAAAAUGAAUUAGCUAUUUUGGAAUUCAUUCACCUCUUAGUUGAAACUAUGGAUCGUCAUUUUGGCAAUGUGUG